AGAUUAAGUUAUUAAGGGCGCACGGUGGAUGCCUUGGCACUAGAAGCCGAUGAAGGACGUUACUAACGACGAUAUGCUUUGGGGAGCUGUAAGUAAGCUUUGAUCCAGAGAUUUCCGAAUGGGGAAACCCAGCAUGAGUUAUGUCAUGUUAUCGAUAUGUGAAUACAUAGCAUAUCAGAAGGCACACCCGGAGAACUGAAACAUCUUAGUACCCGGAGGAAGAGAAAGAAAAUUCGAUUCCCUUAGUAGCGGCGAGCGAAACGGGAAGAGCCCAAACCAAAAAGCUUGCUUGUUGGGGUUGUAGGACACUCUAUACGGAGUUACAAAGGACGACAUUAGACGAAUCAUCUGGAAAGAUGAAUCAAAGAAGGUAAUAAUCCUGUAGUCGAAAAUGUUGUCUCUCUUGAGUGGAUCCUGAGUACGACGGAGCACGUGAAAUUCCGUCGGAAUCUGGGAGGACCAUCUCCUAAGGCUAAAUACUCUCUAGUGACCGAUAGUGAACCAGUACCGUGAGGGAAAGGUGAAAAGCACCCCGGAAGGAGAGUGAAAUAGAACCUGAAACCGUGUGCUUACAAGUAGUCAGAGCCCGUUAAUGGGUGAUGGCGUGCCUUUUGUAGAAUGAACCGGCGAGUUACGAUUUGAUGCAAGGUUAAGCAGUAAAUGUGGAGCCGUAGCGAAAGCGAGUCUGAAUAGGGCGUUUAGUAUUUGGUCGUAGACCCGAAACCAGGUGAUCUACCCUUGGUCAGGUUGAAGUUCAGGUAACACUGAAUGGAGGACCGAACCGACUUACGUUGAAAAGUGAGCGGAUGAACUGAGGGUAGCGGAGAAAUUCCAAUCGAACCUGGAGAUAGCUGGUUCUCUCCGAAAUAGCUUUAGGGCUAGCCUCAAGUGAUGAUUAUUGGAGGUAGAGCACUGUUUGGACGAGGGGCCCCUCUCGGGUUACCGAAUUCAGACAAACUCCGAAUGCCAAUUAAUUUAACUUGGGAGUCAGAACAUGGGUGAUAAGGUCCGUGUUCGAAAGGGAAACAGCCCAGACCACCAGCUAAGGUCCCAAAAUAUAUGUUAAGUGGAAAAGGAUGUGGCGUUGCCCAGACAACUAGGAUGUUGGCUUAGAAGCAGCCAUCAUUUAAAGAGUGCGUAAUAGCUCACUAGUCGAGUGACACUGCGCCGAAAAUGUACCGGGGCUAAACAUAUUACCGAAGCUGUGGAUUGUCCUUUGGACAAUGGUAGGAGAGCGUUCUAAGGGCGUUGAAGCAUGAUCGUAAGGACAUGUGGAGCGCUUAGAAGUGAGAAUGCCGGUGUGAGUAGCGAAAGACGGGUGAGAAUCCCGUCCACCGAUUGACUAAGGUUUCCAGAGGAAGGCUCGUCCGCUCUGGGUUAGUCGGGUCCUAAGCUGAGGCCGACAGGCGUAGGCGAUGGAUAACAGGUUGAUAUUCCUGUACCACCUAUAAUCGUUUUAAUCGAUGGGGGGACGCAGUAGGAUAGGCGAAGCGUGCGAUUGGAUUGCACGUCUAAGCAGUAAGGCUGAGUAUUAGGCAAAUCCGGUACUCGUUAAGGCUGAGCUGUGAUGGGGAGAAGACAUUGAGUCUUCGAGUCGUUGAUUUCACACUGCCGAGAAAAGCCUCUAGAUAGAAAAUAGGUGCCCGUACCGCAAACCGACACAGGUAGUCAAGAUGAGAAUUCUAAGGUGAGCGAGCGAACUCUCGUUAAGGAACUCGGCAAAAUGACCCCGUAACUUCGGGAGAAGGGGUGCUCUUUAGGGUUAACGCCCAGAAGAGCCGCAGUGAAUAGGCCCAAGCGACUGUUUAUCAAAAACACAGGUCUCUGCUAAACCGUAAGGUGAUGUAUAGGGGCUGACGCCUGCCCGGUGCUGGAAGGUUAAGAGGAGUGGUUAGCUUCUGCGAAGCUACGAAUCGAAGCCCCAGUAAACGGCGGCCGUAACUAUAACGGUCCUAAGGUAGCGAAAUUCCUUGUCGGGUAAGUUCCGACCCGCACGAAAGGCGUAACGAUUUGGGCACUGUCUCAACGAGAGACUCGGUGAAAUCAUAGUACCUGUGAAGAUGCAGGUUACCCGCGACAGGACGGAAAGACCCCGUGGAGCUUUACUGUAGCCUGAUAUUGAAAUUCGGCACAGCUUGUACAGGAUAGGUAGGAGCCUUUGAAACGUGAGCGCUAGCUUACGUGGAGGCGCUGGUGGGAUACUACCCUAGCUGUGUUGGCUUUCUAACCCGCACCACUUAUCGUGGUGGGAGACAGUGUCA
rnacentral:rRNA from 1 species